rnacentral:rRNA from 1 species
GAUGAACGCUGGCGGCGUGCCUAAUACAUGCAAGUCGAGCGAACAGAUGAGGAGCUUGCUCCUCUGACGUUAGCGGCGGACGGGUGAGUAACACGUGGAUAACCUACCUAUAAGACUGGGAUAACUUCGGGAAACCGGAGCUAAUACCGGAUAAUAUAUUGAACCGCAUGGUUCAAUAGUGAAAGACGGUUUUGCUGUCACUUAUAGAUGGAUCCGCGCCGCAUUAGCUAGUUGGUAAGGUAACGGCUUACCAAGGCGACGAUGCGUAGCCGACCUGAGAGGGUGAUCGGCCACACUGGAACUGAGACACGGUCCAGACUCCUACGGGAGGCAGCAGUAGGGAAUCUUCCGCAAUGGGCGAAAGCCUGACGGAGCAACGCCGCGUGAGAGAUGAAGGUCUUCGGAUCGUAAAACUCUGUUAUUAGGGAAGAACAAAUGUGUAAGUAACUAUGCACGUCUUGACGGUACCUAAUCAGAAAGCCACGGCUAACUACGUG